rnacentral:misc_RNA from 1 species
GACGGUUGUAGGAUUGUUCGAUGGCCUUGGAAUCACUACGGUGGGUUUAGUCGAUGACGGGUUGAGGUGUUCUUCCCCCCCUGGACACCAAGAGGACAACACGCGAACCCGUUAUCGAAGCAGAGGUCCCGAUCGACGUGUUGUCCCAACGUUCCGACCGAUAUUUCAGAUUUUGUAGGCAAUGAUGGACCGACCCGAUUGAUGGUUUAGAUUUUGUGGGAAAUGAUAGACCGACUCGAUUGACGGUUUCGAUUUUGUGGGAAAUGAUUGACCGACCCGAUUGACGGUUUUGAUUUUGCGGGAAAUGUUGGACGGAACCGAUUGAUGGUUUCAAUUUUGUGGGAAACGAUGGAUCGACCUGAUUGAUGAUUUUGAUUUCGGGGGAAAUUAUGUAUCGACCCGAUUGACGGUUUUGAUUUUCGCAUCGUGCGGUGCUUUCCUUGGAACCAACGUCGGCUAUAGGUUGCAUUCUUGGCUUUUGUGCUAGGGAUGUGGCUAUUAGUUGGGUGGUUUUAGGGAUUGUCGAUCGUAAAGGUGCAUGAGUUGUGUUUGGUUUGUUACGUGUCGUUGGAUGUCUGCUUAUGCAGCAACGUCGACACGUGCAUACCUCUUCAUUUAUUGUGAAAGCGUGUUUUGCUUUUGCAUGUUGUGGGUUUCUAGCGUUGUGUUCCUGAAUUGUGGCAUUUUAUGGUUUGAACAACGUGUCUUUAAUCAUGUCACACAUACGUGUGCCACGUGAAAAGGCAUGAAGCUAUCUCUUCGACCCACUUCGUCUUUGUCUUUUGCACUGAUGUUGUGGCCUGUUGAGGAAGCUGGUCUCAUGGAUGCGGUGCCUGACUCGGUGAUUUGGUUUUAUUAACCAAUUUGGUUGCCAUAACUAGAUGUUUUUGCCUCUUCUUCAUAUGACCAUCCAUUGUG